UCCCUGGUGAUCUAGUGGCUAAGGCUCCCGUGCUCUCACCGCCAUGGCCCGGGUUUGAUUCCCAGGCAGGGAA